CAGUGGACUAGCCCGGGUGGCUCGACGUCAUCUGUAACCCGAAACCGUCGAUAUGCGGGGGGCGAAGCCUUAGGAAGGUUUUUCUGCCUUCAGAGUAGCUUUGAAAGGCUGCUGUAGAUGUCUUGUUCCAUGUGGUCGCCGGUGAUAUAGGAUAUAUCGGAAGGUAUAUUCCAUAUUCUUUAUCGUGCAGACCGGUUCAGGCCCGGAAGGGAGCAGACUUAGCACGAACGUACGACGCUCAUGGAGUGGCAGGACGGAGGCGGUUUUCAAAAGCACCUGGAGGUUAAGAUUUUCCGACCGAUGGCGUGUCCACUG
rnacentral:SRP_RNA from 1 species